UAUUUGUGCACUUCAUCAAUUUAUACACAAACAUGCUGUACCGAGAUAGCUUAAAUUUGCUACCUAUGUUCAGAUGCGUGCUUGCCUGUUUCUGUAGACCUAUGUGCUAGACUCUUAACACAUGAAUGACGAGUAUUGAAUGCGAAGCUUCGUUCAGUCUCAUAGUGUCAUAGGUUUUCGACAAUCCGGCAACUUCUUUGUGCUAGUGUGUCAUGCUUACAUGACAAAGGAGUUGAUGUUUAAUUUUUAUAGAUCUGGCUACUACUAUAUGCAAAUAGGGAAAAUGUGAAUUAAAGUUUCUUUAUUUAUCCCAGUAUUACUCUACGUAAUUAGUUAUGCUUAUAUAUUAUGGGAUUAUAAGUCAAGACAUCUGAAGAAAAUGAAUAUCAUUUUUGCUCCUUAGCUGCAGGGAAAAGAAACAUGUGCAGAUGUUGAGGUAGUCAUAUCCAGUGAACCCAGGGAAGUCAUUCAUUUGUCAUGCCAUGGAAGUAUUGUUUGAAGUUUCCUUGCCGUCAAGACUUUUUUUUCAACAUCUAUGAGGUGGCAAGCAAAGUUAUGGUAACUGCAGUUCAUAUCAGGGUGACCGACGAGGACUACUGCGGCCCGAUGGGAGUCGUGCUCUUCAACUACUCGGAGGCAUACUUCACCGUGAAGCCUCGCGACCGCGUCAUACAGAUUAUCGUCCAGGUGAUUGCGACGCAGGAGGUCCCCGGGGUGGAGGACCUCGACGCCACCGUCCGGAGGUCACCGAGGUGGAGGACGACGCCACCGUAUGGAGUUCCUCAAGGUGGAGGACCUCGACUCUUUGUACAUACAUCUAGAGAAGUGGUCUGGUUAGGUUGGUGGUGAAACGCUAGGGAAGGUACCAACCUUUUGAUGAUGGUUGUGUGCAUCCUCGUGAUCUCUUCGUGUUGAGAUGUUCAAUGUUGCAUCCAUGAACACUGCAAGUGUUAAGAUGGUUCUGUGAAAUUUAUUUUGCAUUGGAUGUGUC